CUCUCGCUCUGUCUCUCUGUCUCUCUCUCUGUUGUCUGUCGCUCUCCUGCGAGGGCGGCAGCAGGAGCAGCAGCAGGAGAAGCAGAAGGAGCGCUGGUGAAGCUCUCCCUUCCCGCUCCCACAGUCUCGCAAGAGGGAUUAACAGCUCCAGGACGGGAGAACGCGAUAUAUUGGAACAAAUGCAAAGCCAGAGGUGCCCCGCGACUCGUCUCGGGAGCAUAGCUACGAGAGGGAAAAGACCCGGGCACGACCGCCGGAACGCAUCACUCGCGUGCACCGCUCCCACGGACGUCCCUGCGACUUCUGUCCGAGUCGUCCGAGCCAACGAGAUGCGCUUGAGGACUCGGCGUCAGAACUGGCGCUAGUGCCCGCACCGACCACGUUCCACGCCAAGCGGCCAGCUACAGCCAGCAGUGUUCGUCUGUGGAAAGGUUUCAGUGAUUCUCAAGACUCUUCUUCAAGAGGGUCCUGCCAGGCUGUCUCUCGAAUGGGGGCGAUCCUGCUGCUCUGCGUGUGAUCCCAAGUUGAGUCAAUUGCAGAUCAUUUUUCAGCACUGGGAUUUUUGGCCAAUCACAGUUCCAUUUCGCGGUGAGUCAUUCCUUUAUUUGAAUCGUGUUAAACCAUGAUGAGUCGCGAUAACUGCGUGGAUGUCAUUGCAGUGGCAGUCGUGGUGUCGCUGCUGUCACUGCUGCUGCUGUUGUCAGUGGUACACAAACAACAACAGACAACAACUCAACACAUUCCUCAAUAUCAACACCGUGCGGCCUCCAAAGGAAAAAUUUGACAUAGAACGUUAUGGCAAAUUAUCCCUCCUUUUAUGUCCUUUCUGAAGAAGGCACAUUGCUAAAAACGUCGGCUAUUUUUUUUGUUAAUGCCACACACGCGCACGCGCAGAGAGAGGAUUGUUUACGAAUGCGUUUGAGUAUUUUGUUUGUUGUACUAUUAUCGCGGCUGUAGUUAUUGUUGCCGUAGUAGUGGCUGUUGUUUGUUGUUGUUGUUGUGGUGGUGGUGGUGGCACUGUUGAUAUGAAUUAUAAUUCGCUGCUCGCUUCGUGUCGCGUGGCGCAGAGGAAAGGGCACGGGGAGAUGAAUGCAGGACCCGACGCGCAAUAAUGAAGCUUGGGGGGGCGGAGGGAG